rnacentral:rRNA from 1 species
CACGUAGGGCGCGAGCGUUGUCCGGAAUUAUUGGGCGUAAAGAGCUCGUAGGCGGCCUGUUGCGUCCGCUGUGAAAGCCCGGGGCUUAACCCCGGGUCUGCAGUGGAUACGGGCAGGCUAGAGGUAGGUAGGGGAGAAUGGAAUUCCUGGUGUAGCGGUGAAAUGCGCAGAUAUCAGGAGGAACACCGGUGGCGAAGGCGGGUCUCUGGGCCGAUAUUGACGCUGAGGAGCGAAAGCGUGGGGAGCGAACAGG